AGGAGAAGGAAGGGGGAAAAGGGGAUCAAAGCAGAGCAUUCUCCCUAAGAAGGAGAAAUGUAAGAUCUAUUAGAAAUUAUAAAUUCUGAUGUAAAAACAAAAAUCAAGAUGGAAGUCAGGUAAUUACACAGCUACAAAAUAAGAAGAGCUGCAUGAAUACAAAAGUUAAUAAGUAGGUAACACAGAAUGCAAAUCUGUGCUCUCUUCUGGACAGCAGGACCUUUUAUCAAUUAUUCUUCCACCAUCAGUCAGCACAGGAAGUGCAUCUAUGCAGUGCUCAGUGACUGCUUGGUUAGGGUGAACAGAAUGAUGGAAAACACAGAUUUCAAUGUGUGGGAAAGGCAGCUGGUUGCAACUGAACUUGAGUGAAUUUAAGCAGUGCUGAGUGGGCCAAAACUGACACAGCUGGAGCACAUCUGAUGAGGAGCAGCUGAGGGAGCUGGAAAGGGGCUCAGUCUGGAGAAAAGAAGGCUCAGGGAGAACCUUCUGGCUCUGCACAACUCCCUGACAGGAGAGGGAGGUUUCCUGCUCCCAGGGAACAAGGGACAGGACAAGAGGAUACAACCUCAAGUUGUCCCAUGAGAGGUUUGGAUCCUUCAUGGAAGGUGCUGUCACUGGCACAGCUGCCCAAGGCAGUGUUGGAGUCCCCAUCCCUGGAGGGAUUUAAAAGCCAUGAGGAUGUGGCACUUGGUGACAGGGGUUAGUGGUGGCAUUGGCAGUGCUGGGGGAAUGGUUGAGCUUGAGGGUCUCAGAGGUCUCUUGCAACCUGGAUUAUUUGAUGACUAAAAGCUUUAUAAGCUGACACAAUGGAGAAAAUGCUGUUUAUCUUGUUCUUCCAAUUAGUGAUGAUUCAGGAACUGAAGCGAGAGGAAAGGAAGUAAUAAAAUCCUAUUCUGCCAUCACUUAGAGCAGGCUGGAUUAAAACUUUUCAAGAAUAGAAGCAGACACACAGGAGAAGGACUGGUUAGUAGCAACACGAGGAAAAUUAUAAGGAUUCAGAGGAUGAAGACACAAUGCACAGAAAGGGACAAGCCAGAAAGGAAAACCUUCACAGAGUAUCCCCUCAAUGUCUCAAAGAAAACUCCACACUUAUGAGGGCUGGCAGAGCACAAAAAAAUCAUAACAUCCUCCAUGACAUUAUCUAAAAGCCCCAUCAGUUUGAAGAUCAGAAGACAUUGACAAAGCACUGAGGAUUCACAUUUAAGAAUAUUUGUUACCAUCUCAUACUUUAGAGGUAUUUUUAGUACAAAGAUGCAUUAAGAUGUAACAGCUCCUGUCCAGGCAGGCUCUUUCACAAACACUUCUUCAAGUUAUUGUUUAAAUGAGGAGGCAAAAAGUUAAAGAAUCCACCUGGCUGAAAUCAGCCUGAGUAAGAUAACUUGUAUCCAGAAAUUCUUGUUUGUGCUCCCACACCCUCCCCUGGAAGACUGGAACAAGACAAGGCCUUUACAUUUGUCUUCCUCCAGAGUGGAUGAGUAUUUUAUUAUUCUUAAUUUACUGAGAUUCAUUUGUUUACAAAUUUCCAGGUUUACCCUAUUUAUCUAGCUGGAAAUGUA